CCUACGGGUGGCAGCAGUGGGGAAUAUUGGACAAUGGGCGAAAGCCUGAUCCAGCCAUGCCGCGUGUGUGAAGAAGGCCUUCGGGUUGUAAAGCACUUUCAGUGGGGAAGAAAGCCUUGGGGCUAAUACCCUCGAGGAAGGACAUCACCCACAGAAGAAGCACCGGCUAACUCCGUGCCAGCAGCCGCGGUAAUACGGAGGGUGCGAGCGUUAAUCGGAAUUACUGGGCGUAAAGCGCGCGUAGGCGGUCUGAUAAGCCGGUUGUGAAAGCCCCGGACUCAACCUGGGAACGGCAUCCGGAACUGUCAGGCUAGAGUGCAGGAGAGGAAGGUAGAAUUCCCGGUGUAGCGGUGAAAUGCGUAGAGAUCGGGAGGAAUUCCAGUGGCGAAGGCGGCCUUCUGGACUGACACUGACGCUGAGGUGCGAAAGCGUGGGUAGCAAACAGGAUUAGAUACCCCAGUAGUC
rnacentral:rRNA from 1 species